GAUGAACGCUGGCGGCGUGCCUAAUACAUGCAAGUCGAGCGAAUGGAUUAAGAGCUUGCCCUUAUGAAGUUAGCGGCGGACCGGUGAGUAACACGUGGGUAACCUGCCGAUAAGACUGGGAGAACUCCGCGAAAUCGGGGCUAAUACCGGAUAACAAUUUGAACCGCAUGGUUCGAAAUUGAAAGGCGGCUUCGGGUGUCACUUAUGGAUGGACCCGCGGCGCAUUAGCCAGUUGGUGAGGUAACGGCUCACCAAGGCAACGAUGCGUAGCCGACCUGAGAGGGUGAUCGGCCACACUGGGACUGAGACACGGCCCAGACUCCUACGGGAGGCGGCAGUAGGGAAUCUUCCGCAAUGGACGAAAGUCUGACGGAGCAACGCCGCGUGAGUGAUGAAGGCUUUCGGGUCGUAAAACUCUGUUGUUAGGGAAGAACAAGUGCUAGUUGAAUAAGCUGGCACCUUGACGGUACCUAUCCAGAAAGCCACGGCUAACUACGUGCCAGCCGCCGCGGUAA
rnacentral:rRNA from 1 species